UACAGAGGUCCCAAGCGUUGUUCGGAUUUACUGGGCGUAAAGGGUGCGUAGGUGGUCGGGUAAGUCUGAUGUGAAAUCUCGGAGCUUAACUCCGAAACGGCAUUGGAUACUAUUCGGCUUGAGGGUUGGAGGGGGGACUGGAAUUCUCGGUGUAGCAGUGAAAUGCGUAGAUAUCGAGAGGAACACCAGUGGCGAAGGCGAGUCCCUGGACAACUCCUGACACUAAGGCACGAAAGCCAGGGGAGCAAACGGG
rnacentral:rRNA from 1 species